rnacentral:rRNA from 1 species
UACGUAGGGGGCGAGCGUUGUCCGGAGUUACUGGGCGUAAAGCGUACGCAGGCGGUCUUUUAAGUUCAAAGUGACAGUAGUCGGCUCAACCGAGGAAGGCCUGGGAAGACUGAAAGACUUGAGGGCCAGAGAGGGACACGGAACUCCGGGUGGAGUGGUGAAAUGCGUAGAGAUCCGGAAGAACACCAAAGGCGAAGGCAGUGUCCUGGCUGGUACCUGACGCUCAGAGGCGAGAGCUAGGGGAGCGAACGGG